rnacentral:misc_RNA from 1 species
CCAGAAGACGCCUCGGCGGAAACGCCGGGGCCUUCGUCCAACCCUUUGUGAACGUAUCUCUAUUGCCCCGGGGGAACCCCGCCUGUCAUGGGCGUGGGCCCCGGUGGCCAACUCAAACUCUGUUUUUAUUGCCGUCUGAGUAACAAACAAAUCAAAACA